GAUGAACGCUGGCGGCGUGCCUAAUACAUGCAAGUCGAGCGAAUGGAUUAAGAGCUUGCUCUUAUGAAGUUAGCGGCGGACGGGUGAGUAACACGUGGGUAACCUGCCCAUAAGACUGGGAUAACUCCGGGAAACCGGGGCUAAUACCGGAUAACAUUUUGAACCGCAUGGUUCGAAAUUGAAAGGCGGCUUCGGCUGUCACUUAUGGAUGGACCCGCGUCGCAUUAGCUAGUUGGUGAGGUAACGGCUCACCAAGGCAAGGAUGCGUAGCCGACCUGAGAGGGUGAUCGGCCACACUGGGACUGGAACACGGCCCAGACUCCUACGGGAGGCAGCAGUAGGGAAUCUUCCGCAAUGGACGAAAGUCUGACGGAGCAACGCCGCGUGAGUGAUGAAGGCUUUCGGGUCGUAAAACUCUGUUGUUAGGGAAGAACAAGUGCUAGUUGAAUAAGCUGGCACCUUGACGGUACCUAACCAGGAAGCCACGGCUAACUACGUGCCAGCAGCCGCGGUAA
rnacentral:rRNA from 1 species